rnacentral:lncRNA from 1 species
AAAGUGGCUGUAAUUUUGAUAGUUUCAUUGGAAUAUUAUCUAUCAGUUCAUUCUUAAAUCACAAAAAUUCUUUUUCUGCCUGGUUUUACUUCAGAAAAUAGGGUCACUUUGGAUUGGAAAGGCAAAGAGGUGAUUGUGUGGAAGUCCAAGGCAUUUUCCCCAAAGCAGAAGGUUUGAACCAUAUGGCUACAUGAGUUCUAAUUUACGUGGCAUCUUCUAAGUCAGCAGAACGCGUCUUGGCCUGCCUGUGGGAGUGCAGUCAGCACCUCACCCAGUGAAGUGCAAACGCCUCCCCAGGGCUGAGGCCAGUUUUGGCUGCUGCUGCAGAGAUCAGAGAUUUGCAGGCCACAUGAGACCUUCCUCGGGACAACUGAGCUCUUCCACGCAGUGGCAUGGCUGACCACGGCUGCAGAGCUGGACAUGUGAAAUUGAAAAAUAUUAAACAUCACAGCUUGUGACUUCACUGUUCCUUCUGUUCCCACUGGGGGGAAAAGUAACACAAUCUCCUCUCCCAGACGGGAUGGUGAGAGCGGACAUUUGGAUGCCAUUUUCAAGCAAUGUUUAAUGAAGUGAGAAAACGCGUUUGCAGUGUUGUGCUCCGUGGCACACGCAAGCCCAGAAGCGCACAAUGGCCGCAUUUUGUGAUUUAGACAUGAAUUGGAAAAGCCAAGGAAAUGCCAUCGAAAUAAAAAUCAGACUUGAAAGUCUAAGCUGAGCCAGAAACAGAUGUACUUUUUGCUACUUAAAAAAGAAAUUCUUCUGUUCCCUCCUGUCUUUCCCCCUCAAGCUGUGCCCUGUCACUAUCUUAAGUUGACCUUUUCACUGGGUCUCCCUGAGAUGCUUUUAGUGAACUGGUUGGAGCAUGUGAUCCUUGACCUUUCUGCACAUUCUUUGGGGAGCCCCAGGGUUCUCCAGCUGCCCUCUGGGUGGUCCCCACAGACAUGGCCACAGAUGUCUGCUCCUGAUAAGUCCAGAGAGCAGGGAUCCGAGACCCAUCAUGGACUCCUCUGGAGGAUGAAGUGUGGAGCAGCUGAUCGAUGGGGAGAGUAACAAGCUGGAGUUUACCCUUGACUGGAACUGAGGCAUCCUCCUUGGGUGGACCUGUACUUGAGAGAAAAUGGCCUUUAUCACUGCAUCAUCUUAAAGUCUAAAUAUUGCACCUGCACACCAGUAUUUAAGCAACUGUGCAAAGAUGUUUUUAUAAAGAGCGCCUGAGUCAUAAAUUUGCAUGAAGCUCCAUGGAGAAGAAAUAAAUCUUUU